GUGCUUGCUUCAGCAACACAUACACUAAAAUUGGAAUGAUACAGAGAAAAUUAGCAUGGCCCCUGAACAAGGAUGACAUGCAAAUUCAUGAAAAAAUAUAUUUGUCA
rfam:Tupaia chinensis contig76739, whole genome shotgun sequence.